GCUUGCUCCCUGAUGUUAGCGGCGGACGGGUGAGUAACACGUGGGUAACCUGCCUGUAAGACUGGGAUAACUCCGGGAAACCGGGGCUAAUACCGGAUGGUUGUUUGAACCGCAUGGUUCAGACAUAAAAGGUGGCUUCGGCUACCACUUACAGAUGGACCCGCGGCGCAUUAGCUAGUUGGUGAGGUAACGGCUCACCAAGGCGACGAUGCGUAGCCGACCUGAGAGGGUGAUCGGCCACACUGGGACUGAGACACGGCCCAGACUCCUACGGGAGGCAGCAGUAGGGAAUCUUCCGCAAUGGACGAAAGUCUGACGGAGCAACGCCGCGUGAGUGAUGAAGGUUUUCGGAUCGUAAAGCUCUGUUGUUAGGGAAGAACAAGUGCCGUUCAAAUAGGGCGGCACCUUGACGGUACCUAACCAGAAAGCCACGGCUAACUACGUGCCAGCAGCCGCGGUAAUACGUAGGUGGCAAGCGUUGUCCGGAAUUAUUGGGCGUAAAGGGCUCGCAGGCGGUUUCUUAAGUCUGAUGUGAAAGCCCCCGGCUCAAC
rnacentral:rRNA from 2 species